rnacentral:misc_RNA from 1 species
GAUGAAGAACGUAGCGAAAUGCGAUAAGUAGUGUGAAUUGCAGAAUUCCGUGAAUCAUCGAAUCUUUGAACGCACAUUGCGCCCUUUGGUAUUCCGAAGGGCAUGCCUGUUCGAGCGUCAUUAUCACCCCUCAAGCCCUCGGCUUGGUGUUGGACGGUUUGGUGGAGGCCCCCUCGGGGGCUCCUGCCCCUCCCAAAGACAAUGACGGCGGCCUCGUUGGACCCCCGGUACACUGAGUUCUUCACGGGACACGUAUCGGACACAUGGGUUUACGGGACACGGUCUGCCUCCCCUCAGGGAGAAUCUUUCUAAGGUUGACCUCGGAUCAGGUAGGGAUACCCGCUGAACUUAAGCAUAUCAAUAAGCGGGGA